ensembl:lncRNA
GUUAGCUCCACUUCCCUCCAUGAUGAUGUUAACUCUCUCUCUGUUAGCUCCACUUCCCUCCAUGAUGAUGUUAACUCUCUCUGUUAGCUCCACUUCCCUCCAUGAUGAUGUUAACUCUCCAUGAUGAUGUUAACUCUCUCUGUUAGCUCCACUAUGCACUUCCCUUCAUGAUGAUGUUAACUCUCUCUGUUAGCUCCACUUCCCUCCAUGAUGAUGUUAACUCUCUCUGUUAGCUCCACUUCCCUCCAUGAUGAUGUUAACUCUCUCUGUUAGCUCCACUUCCCUCCAUGAUGAUGUUAACUCUCUCUGUUAGCUCCACUUCCCUUCAUGAUGAUGUUAACUCUCUCUGUUAGCUCCACUUCCCUCCAUGAUGAUGUUAACUCUCUCUGUUAGCUCCACUAUGCACUUGCCUCUGCUAGUAACACACUGUGUUAACAUUAGCCUAGACUGGAACACAGAAAAUAACCGUUUUAAACAGUUGUAAAAAACAACUUCUUCCAGACAGAAUAGUUCCUGUAGAUUCAGACUCAUCACCAAUCUGUUGUUAUGUUUUGUGGGUUUCAUAACCACGUCUGUAUAACAAUUCAAUAAUGAUGAGACGGGAGACAGGAAUCAGUUCAACCAUUUAUCUGGAAAGUGAUCAUCUCUACACAUACAAACCCCCAUGAUGCUCUGCGCCACAACCCCAAUAAACAACAAAUACAUCAUACAUAGGUAAAAUGGACAGUAAACAAAACCCAGAGGACUUUAAAUGUUCAGUUCUAGAAAGUAGGACCAUGGGACAGGGUCAGAAAGGUCAUUAUAACACAGUGAAGUAGGACCAUGGGACAGGGUCAGAAAGGUCAUUAUAACACAGUGAAGUAGGGCCAUGGGACAGGGUCAGAAAGGUCAUUAUAACACAGUGAAGUAGGACCAUGGGACAGGGUCAGAAAGGUCAGUAUGUUUGAUACCUGGUUAUAGAGGUGACAUAACAAGCAUAAGGUCCAUUAUAACACAGUGAAUUAGAGGUGGGAGCUAAAAGCAGACAUGGACAGUGAGACGGUGUGAGGAGGUCAGGGGUCAAACACUAGAUCAGGACAGGUAGAAAUGGCAGGGCUGGAAAUAGACAGAGACACAUUCUGAUCAUGGCUCAGACCUGACCUGAGACACCCAAUCAGAAGAUGUCAUAACAAAGUCCUGACCUGAGACACCCAAUCAGAAGAUGCCAUAACAGAGUCCUGACCUGAGACACCCAAUCAGAAGAUGUCAUAACAAAG